UGACAGAAGAGUGUGAGCCCAGAGCGAGGGCAUGGGCAGGUGAUGGACCAUUCACAUCCCACGCAGCUGGAGCAGUCAGCUGACCAUGCUCCUUGCUGCAGAGUGGCGAGUGGACACUAGGACAGUGCCCUGCAGCUUUGG
rnacentral:miRNA from 10 species